UACGUAGGGUGCGAGCGUUAAUCGGAAUUACUGGGCGUAAAGCGUGCGCAGGCGGUUUGCUAAGACCGAUGUGAAAUCCCCGGGCUUAACCUGGGAAUGGCGUUUGAAACUACGGAGCUGGAGUGUGGCAGAGGGAGGUAGAAUUCCACGUGUAGCGGUGAAAUGCGUAGAUAUGUGGAGGAAUACCGAUGGCGAAGGCAGCCUCCUGGGCCAACACUGACGCUCAUGCACGAAAGCGUGGGGAGCAAACAGG
rnacentral:rRNA from 1 species